CCCAAUCACCGGAAUUCUAAUCAUCGCCACCUGCACAUCAUCAGCCACUUAAUCACCAGCACUAUUUAACCCACACUCACACACACACCAGUUGUCCGGUCUCGUUUGUAGUAAAUCCUCAUGUAUGCGAACCUCAAGGACUCAACCUGCUACUUACCUGCUACUUACCUGCUACCAGCGAUCCCUAUCGCUCCGUUGUCUCCAGUUCCCCUCCUGUGUUCCUCCUUCCGUGUGUGUGAGUGUUCCUCGUCAGCCAUUCUCCAUCUCCUCGACUUCUACCUCCAUCUGCAAUCACAAGGACAGUAUCAAACCUCUAUCAUCUCAUUUGAAUUCUCCAUCUUCCAUUUACUCACCUGCUCAUUGCUGUUUCUCAAAUAAACCACCAUACUUGCUUUUACCUCUGCCUCCGUGCCGUCUGUAUCAUAACAAUAUCCAGCUAAAGUUGAACGCACCUAUUGUCUUGUCUAAUUACUUUCUUCUUCAAAACAAUCUCAUGACAAUUUGUAACUAUUUUAUGUUUUGGCAAUUAAAUUGGUGGCUAAUUUGUAUAAAUUAUCUCAUCCGUAUGCUUUCGUAUGAUCUGCUUACGUCCCAGUAUCCGUUAUGUUUAGGGUUGGGUGGGGUUCGGGGUGGACCUUCAUACUUACUUUAUUUUUCUUUCUAAAAAUCAAACAUUUUCAUUUGAUUCAAAUUUAUACAAAAUCACAGCCUUGUAAAAUAUUUAUAUUUUCCUGUGAUAUUGGGCUGUCUGGUUACUGUAGCAAACAAAUUGCAUGUAUUCCAAGCUGGCACCUGACUCUGUGUUUAAAUGUGGUUGAAAUAAUUUCAGUUGUUGUUUCAGUAUUGGAAAAAAAAACAAACAAACAUUGAAACUAUGUUUAAUGCUAAAUGGUCAUAAAAAGGUCAACCAAAUACUUCAACAUUGAAAUCAACACUGAAUUUUUAACAAGACAUUAUAAAAGACAUCGAAACUACAUUGUGAUAAUGUUGGUUUGAUUUGCAAACUCAAGAACAUUCAACCUUGAUCCAUGACGUUGAUUCACUUGUGAAUAAUGCCAGCUGGGUUUUAUUGCAUGAGUAAUGCUAAAUCAUAUAGUAUAAAGCAAGGUCAUAAUGUUUUCCUUAGCCUUGUGUGUAAGUUUUAAUAAGAUAUAUUUUAUAUUUCCAAAUAUGAGACUUGAAUUAAACAGGCUUUAAAUAUGGGCAAAGCACAGAGAUAUUUGAAUUUUUAUGUCUAAGAACAAAGGCGCAAAAAGUCGUGAGAACACAGAUCAUAUCAAAACACUGUAAUUUAAUUUGAUGAAAGCAUUAAAAAAACAUUCCUUAGCCAGCCUGAGCAAGCCACUGUGACGAACAUCCUGUGAGCUGAUAAGAACACACUGCAUGUUUCCUUUUGAUGUUGAUGGAACUUGAUAUGCUGUAUGCUGUUGUUGACACUGAUGUCAUUGAGCAGGAUCCCUCCACCCAACCAUAUGGAUCCAGUCAGAAGUCUGUCCUACUGCCACUGAUGAGAAUAUCAAGUAAAAUCAACUUCAAUGAGCAGGAACAGACAAUCCACAUGCAGAAGGAAGCACUGCCUUCAUUGAAAUGUCAGGGAGCUGCUCCACACUUCAAAUGGACUCAGACAUCUCUUCAAGAAGAGGUUUUCUGUGUCAGCACAAUCUGAUUGCUCACUCCACUUGAUUCUGUGACUUCAUUUCACAGCUUAAUAAGAACAUCAUGUUAAUCCAGUGGCUUGAUCGGGUUCGACAGCCCUUAUUGAUCACAACAGCCCAUAACGUCUGCCUUUUACGCUGACAAAGCAACCAAAGUCUUCCUCCCUGAUAUUCCAAAACUGACAAUAAAAGUUUCCAUCUUUGCAGGAUCAGGCUAUUUUGAUGUUCUAAAGCUGUAUGUGUAGUUUUCCAUUAGCUCGUACUGUAGACCAAUGACCUUAAAUGCUAGUGGCCAUUACAUCAUUGCAAAUGGCUGCCGAUAACUGAUGGCUUACAUCAUCCAUUAAUGCCUGUCCAUCAAUGUCUUUUUUACACUGUCUCUUUACUUUUGGCAAGGAUUCAAACUGAUUAAGCAUUCAAAUCUAAUAGCACCACAGUGCCAAAGCUUUGAAUAUGUGCCUCAUGCAGGGGUAACUGAAAUAUUAGUCAUUUAGAAUGAUGAAAUGUGACCCCAUGUGCAUUGACAUUAACAGCAGCCCCAUUUGCCUAAUUACACACUGAGGACAUCAUCUGAUCUCUUAUUACAGACAACAUGGAGCUCACUAUAACAGUCUUAAUCAGUCAGAUGAUAUGUUUUACUUUCUGAUUACGAACAGUGGGUCAAACGUCAUUUUAAAAGAUUUUAGUAAUGGACACACACACACACAAAGCAAAUUACAAAUUUAUAUUUGUCUUUUGUUGUUUGAUUAACAUAAGAGACACAGACAGUAGCAGGUGUAUUAGGCUGCAGUCUCUUUAAGACCUGAUAUACAUAUUCAACGUAUUGACACACAUCCAGUUUUUUUUUUUUUUUACUGUUAACCUGAGUGUGUUUACGAAUAAUUAUGAAUAAUUUCCAACGCGAGAAAGUUGUGUCAGCCAAUCAGACUGGACCUGGUAAUUUCAUCCAACUGUGUACAAACAGAUACAAAUGAUUAUAGCUAAUUUUAGGGUACAACUAGUGCUAGAAUGGCAAUGUAAAAUUUUAAUGUUAAAUUUUAUCAUAAUUUAUAAAAUCCCCUGAUUCAAGCUUGUUUAUGUGUUUUUAAAAUCCUUUGUCCUUUUAUGGUGGCUGUGAUCUCCACUGAGUUUUCAUGGCCGCAGAGCUAAAUCAAUUUGACACCAAACAUUUUAGUCAAAAAGACAUUUUGGAGAGGUUAAAGUGCUUUUUGGCAACAUGUCAAAUACCAAAAAUUGAUUAUUUCAGCUGCAUUACCUUAAGCCAUCCCCCACUGGUCCAUUCCUCAUCUCAAGUGCUGCUGACUAUAGCGUAAAUAUGAAUGAAUUACUGUAUGUGUGACACACAUUAACACCUGAGGGAUCAUUAUACAAUAAAUCACACAGAUGGGUGGAAAUAAACUGGUGCACAGCCACACACUAAGACAGAGACAUUAAAAUGCUGCUCAUAAGCAUCGAAAAGAAAGUGCAUUGACCAUUGAAAACCAACAUGGUGCUUGAGGCCAGUUCAAGUCCUCUUUGACAGACAAACAGACAUCAAACACAAAACCAAAGUCAAGGAUGGCAGCAAGCAGGACCGAACAUCUGAGAACUCUGUGGUGGUAUUCACAAGUUCGCCUGCCCAUUCAGUCUGAAUGGUUAAUGGUAAAACAAACUUGGCUUGCUGUCCUCGAAGGAGGCUUGAACCCGAGGCUCAGCUCGAGCUCGGUACUGCAUAGAAGGAGAAUAAGAGAAAUAGAGGAGGAGAUGGGGAGGAGGAGGGAUGCUGGAAGUAUUGUCGCUGGAUUGAUGCAGUGACUGCUGCUUAUAUACGCUCGUAAUGAUGAUUGACAGGACUGAAUGUUUAGGCUCCUCCCGAACCUACGUUUGGAACUACAUUAAAAAUGUGCCUAAAGGUGCAUUUUAGAAACUCAGAAAUGAUGCACAACCACAAAACCACUAGAAAAAAGUGGCACUUAAUGGCUUAAACAAAAAAUUUACCAGAUUAAACCGAGAAUUUGAUGUCACAAUCUGCAGUGAGAUUCUGAGAAUGCAAUACAUUUGUUACAAUAUGAUACAUAGCAAUUACAUUCACUCAGACAUGUGUGUACUUGCUUUAAACAGAGAGUUGAUUUAUUUCUCCAUUACAGUGUUAUUUAUAGCGACUAGCGCAAGGCCAGCACUUGAAUCUGAAGGAUAAAUUGUUUCUACACAGUGGGCCUGUAAAAGGACUGCUGACCCUCUUGUGUUUGCACUGUUACUGCAGUGCACUUCCUCCAAAGCAAUUUGAUUAAUCUCAGUUGGCUCCCACCUCAGCUGCAGAAAUCGCCCUAGAUGUGCUUGAAAUACAUGCAGUUGUUCUUUUGUGAUAUUAAAGACACCUUUACAAGGCAUGCCAAAGAGAUUAUGUUAUGAAACUGGUGAUCAAAAAAAGGUGCAAAAAGUUCUGAGAAAUUGUUCUUAAAGUGUCCAUAUUGUGUUAUGUAAAAGGUCUCCUACAAUAGCUUUACAUGCAUCGAAGGCAAAAAAAAAAAAAAAAAAAAAAAUUCUU